UACGUAGGCAGCAAGCGUUGUUCGGAGUUACUGGGCGUAAAGGGUGCGUAGGCGGUUGUUUAAGUUUGGUGUGAAAUCUCCCGGCUCAACUGGGAGGGUGCGCCGAAUACUGAAUGACUAGAGUGCGGGAGAGGAGAGUGGAAUUCCUGGUGUAACGGUGAAAUGCGUAGAUAUCAGGAGGAACACCGGUGGUGUAGACGGCUCUCUGGACCGUAACUGACGCUGAGGCACGAAAGCGUGGGUAGCAAACAGG
rnacentral:rRNA from 1 species